rnacentral:rRNA from 1 species
AGAAUCAACGCUGGCGGCGUGCCUAACACAUGCAAGUCGCACGAGAAAGGGGCUUCGGCUCUGAGUAAAGUGGCGCACGGGUGAGUAACACGUGAAUUAUCUACCUCCGAGUGGGGAAUAACUGAGAGAAAUCUUAGCUAAUACCGCAUAACACUUACGAGUCAAAGCAGCAAUGCGCUUGGAGAGGAGUUCGCGGCCGAUUAGUUAGUUGGCGGGGUAAUGGCCCACCAAGACGAUGAUCGGUAUCCGGCCUGAGAGGGCGCACGGACACACUGGAACUGAAACACGGUCCAGACUCCUACGGGAGGCAGCAGUGGGGAAUUUUGCGCAAUGGGGGAAACCCUGACGCAGCAACGCCGCGUGGAGGAUGAAAUAUCUUGGUAUGUAAACUCCUUUCGAUGGGGAAGAUUAUGACGGUACCCAUAGAAGAAGCCCGGCUAACUUCGUGCCAGCAGCCGC